GACGAACGCUGGCGGCGUGCCUAACACAUGCAAGUCGAGCGGGGUUGAAGCGAGGGGUAACUCGGACUUCUACCUAGCGGCGGACGGGUGAGUAACGCGUGGGCAACCUGCCUCAAGGUUUGGGAUAACAGCUCGAAAGGGCUGCUAAUACCGGAUAUGCCUGUGGCCUCGCAUGGGGCUAUGAGCAAAGGGGAAACCCGCCUUGAGAUGGGCCCGCGUCCCAUCAGCUAGUUGGUGAGGUGAAGGCUCACCAAGGCGACGACGGGUAGCCGGCCUGAGAGGGUGACCGGCCACACUGGGACUGAGACACGGCCCAGACUCCUACGGGGGCAGCAGUGGGGGAUCUUGCACAAUGGGCGAAAGCCUGAUGCAGCGACGCCGCGUGAGCGAAGAAGGCCUUCGGGUUGUAAAGACUCUGUCUGGAGGGACGGAAACAAAUAGACGGUACCGUCCGGACGGAAGCCACGGCUAACUACGUG
rnacentral:rRNA from 1 species